rnacentral:lncRNA from 1 species
UAGUUGACUUCAGCUGUAGGGCUUUGAUCACAUGACUUUGAUAACUUAGGGAAUAAAAGGCUGCUUUGCCUUGCUUUUAGAAAUAAUGUUUGGCUCUGUGAUUCAGCUUCUUGGUAAGUUACCUACAAUUUAUAUGAAAGAUCUUCUGUAUCUCUUAUAACUUCCUAGCAGUUCUGAUGCAGAAAAUAGGUUCCUUCAAGUGCUUAUCCACAGGGAGAAGCUGGCUGGGGAACGGCCACCAGAGAAUAAGCAACACGUCUCAAGUAGCUACAUGGGAAUAUCCAUCCUGUAUGCUCACAGAGGGUCGAACAGUCUCAGGAUGUGGUCUGCAUGUUAGCACUGAGUCGUCUCUGUGGAUCCAGAAGAAUUCAUUUGAAGAAGAAAGCAGAAGAAGCUGCCGUGAGCCACUACAGGAGUCAGUUUUCCCAGGAUGGAGCCGCC